rfam:Helianthus annuus linkage group 4, whole genome shotgun sequence.
AAUAUACAAGGGGCUUGGAGUCUGGAAAAACUCAGAGAUGAAUGUGUUGUCUAUCAGCUUCAUCUUUAGUAAUAUUAACGAGAGUGGAGUUAAAUAACAGCACAACAAUC